UUUGUAGAUUAUCUUGUUAUUUGUUUUUGUUUGAUUUAGGUUUUAUUGAAAUAUCAUUCUCGGUUAUUGUAAUUUUUUGGUUUAAUUUUUUGUGCGAUAGAUUAUUUGUACCGUAAGGGGUUAAUGUUUAAUUUUUUUAUAAAAGUAGAUUUUGUUUUUCGUACCUUGUGUAUCAGGGUUCAUUGAAUUUUAUUAUUUAUUUUUAUUUCCCGAUUUUGGAGGAGUUAAUGAUUUAUUUUAUUUACUGUUUCAUUAGUAUUAAUAAUAGGUUAUUGGUAGUGAAAUGUUAUUCGUCUUCGAAGGUUUCUGGUUUUUCAAGAAAUGAAUUUAAUUCAUGCAUAUUAUUUAAUNNNNNNNNNNNNNNNNNGAAGGGCCGCGGUAUUUUGACCGUGCAAAGGUAGCAUAAUCAUUAGUUCUUUAAUUGUGAUCUGGUAUGAAUGGCUUGACGAGAUAUGUACUGUCUUGGUAGUAUUGUUUAUUGAAUUUAAUUUUUGAGUUAAAAUUCUUAGAUGUUUUUAUGGGACGAGAAGACCCUAUAGAGUUUAACAUUUGAUUUGGCUGGUAUUGUAUUGUUUGUUUUAUUUUGUUUUUAGUGAAUUAAAUGUUUUGUUGGGGUGAUGGGAGGAAUUUUCUUAACUCCUCUUUGUUUUUGUAUAUUUAUUUAUAUAUUCUUGAUCCAUUUUUUGUGAUUAUAAGAUUAAAUUACCUUAGGGAUAACAGCGUUAUCUUCCUUGAGAGUUCUUAUUGGCGGGAAGGUUUGCGACCUCGAUGUUGGAUUAAGGUGAAUUUUCGGUGCAGGAGCUGAAGUUGAUUAGGUCUGUUCGACCUUUAAAAUCUUACAUGAUCUGAGUUCAGACCGGCGUGAGCCAGGUUGGUUUCUAUCUAUAAGUAUUUAUUGUACCUUAGUACGAGAGGACCGGGUAUUUGGAAUAAUUUUAUUUAUUAUGAUUUUUAUUAAUAUAUUUAC
rnacentral:rRNA from 1 species